GCAUCGAUGGUUCAGUGGUAAAAUUGCUCGCCUGCCACGCGGGCGGCCCGGGUUCGAUUCCCGGCCGAUGUA
rnacentral:tRNA from 1 species